AUGAACGCUGGCGGCGUGCCUCAUACAUGCAAGUCGAGCGCACAGACGAGGAGCUUGCUCCUCUGACGUUAGCGGCGGACGGGUGAGUAACACGUGGAUAACCUACCUAUAAGACUGGGAUAACUUCGGGAAACCGGAGCUAAUACCGGAUAAUAUAUUGAACCGCAUGGUUCAAUAGUGAAAGACGGUUUUGCUGUCACUUAUAGAUGGAUCCGCGCCGCAUUAGCUAGUUGGUAAGGUAACGGCUUACCAAGGCAACGAUGCGUAGCCGACCUGAGAGGGUGAUCGGCCACACUGGAACUGAGACACGGUCCAGACUCCUACGGGAGGCAGCAGUAGGGAAUCUUCCGCAAUGGGCGAAAGCCUGACGGAGCAACGCCGCGUGUGUGAUGAAGGUCUUCGGAUCGUAAAACUCUGUUAUUAGGGAAGAACAAAUGUGUAAGUAACUAUGCACGUCUUGACGGUACCUAAUCAGAAAGCCACGGCUAACUACGUG
rnacentral:rRNA from 1 species